AUGGCCGUCGUCAGUUCGUACUGUGAAGCAUCCUGUUAAGUCAGGCAACGAGCGAGACCCACGCCCACAGUUGCCAGCGUACUCUCUGGAGUGACGGGUACGACUGUGGGACCGCCGCUGCGUAAAGCGGAGGAAGGAAUGGGCAACGGUAGGUCAGUAUGCCCCGAAUAUCCCGGGCUACACGCGAGCUACAAUGGUUGGUACAAUGGGUAUCUACCCCGAAAGGGGACGGGAAUCUCCUAAAACCAAUCUUAGUUCGGAUUGAGGGCUGCAACUCGCCCACAUGAAGCUGGAAUCUGUAGUAAUCGUGUCUCAAAAUGGCAUGGUGAAUAUGUCCCUGCUCCUU
rnacentral:rRNA from 1 species